UCGGCCCGAGCUGGAAAGCUGAAGCUCCGUGCCCGAGACGUCCCCCAGUGCGGCUCCUAAAACCGUGUGGCCGAAAUAGAGAGCUUCACUCCCGGGGCGCACAGGAGAACCGGAGACCCGGGUUGGCCACCCUCGAGAAGCUAACAAGGCACCUCGGCUCUCACCCCCUGCCGCCUCCCCGGCGCCGGCAGCCAGGAGUAGUGCGGCCAGGAGCUUCUGAGCAAGGAGGGGGGCUCGGACAUUUAUACCUGGAAGGCUGGAAUCCCUGAGGGCUGUGGCAUCCUGUUUACCAAUAUGGCGGGAAAUACUCCAUUUCACAAAGCCAUCAGGAUGAAUGUUUCACAGGCAAAGCUGCCCAAGGACCCAGCCUACAGGGAGUGGAGAAAAGACUGAUGCUCAUCAACCGGACCCGGGAGCCAAGGGAGCUGGCAGGAACCACACGCAUGCACCUGCUUCUAGUGUGUGCACGCAGGCAAGUCACUGCCUGCCAGAGCCUCAGUUUCUU